GUAGUCAUACGCUUGUCUCAAAGAUUAAGCCAUGCAUGUCUAAGUAUAAACAAUUUUGUACUGUGAAACUGCGAAUGGCUCAUUAUAUCAGUUAUAGUCUACUCGAUAGUACCUUACUACUUGGAUAACCGUAGUAAUUCUAGAGCUAAUACAUGCACAAAUACCCAACUGCUUGUCGGACGGGUAGCAUUUAUUAGAUUGAAACCAAUGCAGUCUUCGGGCUGGUAUUGUGUUGAGUCAUAAUAACUGUGCGGAUCGCACUCAGUGCGAUAAAUCGAUUGAGUUUCUGCCCUAUCAGCUUUGGAUGGUAGGAUAUGGGCCUACCAUGGCAUUAACGGGUAACGGGGAAUUGGGGUUU
rnacentral:rRNA from 1 species